UUAUAUGGAUCUUCUCUGAUUUAAGUGUCAUUUUAAGACUACAUUUUCUGCUUAAAAUUGUGUUUAGGCAAUUCCUAAACAGGUGAAUGGCAAUGACUGUGGAGUUUUUGUCUGUAAAUAUGCAGACUUCCUUUCUCAAGGAAAGCCACUCACAUUCAGAAAGUGUGACAUUCCAGUCUUCAGGAAAAUUAUGGUUUGGGAGAUAACACAUCAGAAGAUCCUGUAAGCCCUGAAGCAAUCAUCAGACAUCUUAUGUUCUUUGUGUAAAUUCAAUUUAGAAUGUAAUUAUGAAUAGUUCUGAGAUUAAUAAAAUCUUAGGUUUAACUGCA